UGUUUAUGAUGAUAAAUCUAAGGCUUGUUUCUCAAGAAAAUUCGCAGUUGCCGACUACUAAGAGCUUUCGCCUUUCGCCUGAGAGUUAAUGCUGCUUUUUUCCUUCCUUGGAUGUCUGAGACA